CCGAUAAAAUUAAGCAUAUCAAUAAGCGGAGGAAAAGAAACUAACAAGGAUUCCCCUAGUAACUGCGAGUGAAGCGGGAAAAGCUCAAAUUUAAAAUCUGGCGGUCCUUGGCCGUCCGAGUUGUAAUCUAGAGAAGUGUUACCCGCGUCGGACCGUGUACAAGUCUCCUGGAAUGGAGCGUCAUAGAGGGUGAGAAUCCCGUCUUUGACACGGACUACCGAGGCUUUGUGGUGCGCUCUCAAAGAGUCGAGUUGUUUGGGAAUGCAGCUCAAAAUGGGUGGUAAAUUCCAUCUAAAGCUAAAUAUUGGCGAGAGACCGAUAGCGAACAAGUACCGUGAGGGAAAGAUGAAAAGAACUUUGGAAAGAGAGUUAAACAGUACGUGAAAUUGCUGAAAGGGAAACGCUUGAAGUCAGUCGCGUCGUCCGGGAAUCAGCCUUCCUUCUGGUUGGUGUACUUCCUGGUUGACGGGCCAGCAUCAGUUUUGACCGGUGGAAAAAGUUCGAGGGAAUGUGGCACCUCCGGGUGUGUUAUAGCCCUCGUUCGUAUACAUCGGUUGGGACUGAGGAACUCAGCACGCCGCAAGGCCGGGAUUCGUCCACGUUCGUGCUUAGGAUGCUGGCAUAAUGGCUUUAAUCGACCCGUCUUGAAACACGGACCAAGGAGUCUAACAUGCCUGCGAUGUUU
rnacentral:rRNA from 1 species